CAUUUUCAAGCGGAUAUGUGUGAGGGCCAUACCCACCCUGGCUACUUGUACUUCGUGACACCACAGAUGGGCAGGCGCGGGUGGUGUGGCGCGGCCAUGAGUGAGGGAGCGGGUGUCAUGUGAGGGAAAAAUGUGUAAAUUGAGUUAUGGCGCCGCAACAACAAGGUCAGGUGGCGCCGGCUGGGGUUAUGUGAGAACCCUUGCGAGCCCUUAAUGGAACCCUUACCACGACCACCACCACCGCCACCACCAUCACCGCCACCGUCACUGCCGCUAACCGUCAUUGCCCGAGGGAAAAGACCGUGCGCACUACCUUAUCAUAAGCGCGCAAUGAGACAUCGAGACACAGGGCAGCGCAGAACAGAGGAGACAUGAUGAUUGUUUUCUACCUUCACCUGCGCGAUGUUGCUCUAUCUCCUGCGUCUCAGUGUGUCCAUUUAUAUACCGUCCCAAAACAACCCUUCCUUUCACCCUAAGUAUUGCCCUCUAUUCAUUAACUCUGACUGGUGUUGUUUCCAAGCUUAGCGAAAAGACCUAGUGAAGUUUGGGAUAUAUUUUUGAGAUUUAACUCGAAGGAAAGACUUGAAUAUUUAGCGAAACUUUCUAGACCACACCCUUUCAUAUUUUCCUGUUCCCCAUCCAUUAACUGUGACUGAUGUGGCUUCCAAGCUUAGCGGAAAGACCUAGUGAGGUUUGGAAUAUAUUUUUGAAAGUUAACUCGAAGGAAAGGACUUGAAUAUUUGGCAAGACUUUUUUAAACCUUUUCAUAUUCCCCUCCUUUUUAUCCGAAGCGUGCGGGACAGAUGAAAAUAAAUAAGUAAAGUGAAAUAAACAAGAGUCAUCAGCAUACAAAAGAUUAAGUUCCCAGUGUCCAAGCUCCACCCUGACCUGGCUGGAGUGACCCCUGACCUCCCCGACCUGCUCUCCCCGUUCCCUCGCUAGCCUUGACCUCCUUCGCACCAGCCGUGACCUCUUACCUUCAGGAAGACGCGAAUGCAACCUCUGAUAUUCCUCCCCCUCCUCCUCCCACGCCUCCUGCAGUAUCUCCCACCCUCCCUCCCACCUCCCACGCCACCCACGACUCCCCUUUCUCUCCCUCUUGCCUCCCACACGUCCAGUCCC